rnacentral:rRNA from 1 species
UACGGAGGGUGCAAGCGUUGUCCGGAAUCAUUGGGCGUAAAGAGUUCGUAGGUGGUAUGUUAAGUCUGGUGUCAAAGCCCGAAGCUCAACUUCGGUUCGGCACUGGAUACUGGCAAACUAGAAUGCGGUAGAGGUAAAGGGAAUUCCUGGUGUAGCGGUGAAAUGCGUAGAUAUCAGGAGGAACAUCGGUGGCGUAAGCGCUUUACUGGGCCGUUAUUGACACUGAGGAACGAAAGCCGGGGUAGCAAAUGGG